UGAGGAAUAUUGGUCAAUGGACGAGAGUCUGAACCAGCCAAGUAGCGUGCAGGAUGACGGCCCUAUGGGUUGUAAACUGCUUUUGUUUGGGAAUAAUCGACAUUACGUGUAAUGUUUUGCAUGUACCAUAUGAAUAAGGACCGGCUAAUUCCGUGCCAGCAGCCGCGGUAAUACGGAAGGUCCAGGCGUUAUCCGGAUUUAUUGGGUUUAAAGGGAGCGUAGGCUGUUUGUUAAGCGUGUUGUGAAAUGUAAGAGCUCAACUUUUAGAUUGCAGCGCGAACUGGCAGACUUGAGUGCGCACAACGUAGGCGGAAUUCAUGGUGUAGCGGUGAAAUGCUUAGAUAUCAUGACGAACUCCGAUUGCGAAGGCAGCUUACGGGAGCGCAACUGACGCUAAAGCUCGAAGGUGCGGGUAUCGAACAGG
rnacentral:rRNA from 1 species